AGGCCACCUCAUAUUUUCCAUCUUUAUCUCUGAUUUCAUUUUUUAUCUGUAGUCCAUAGUAUUGUCCAUAGUAUUUACACUUUCAUGGUCUAUUAUUUUUAAAAUUUCAUUCCUGAGGCUUAUUAGCUUACUUCAUUUUUAUGUUUUUCUUCUUCACUUUGGAUAAGAUUACCCUUUGGUGACUUGCUGGAGCAUUACACAUUGUGCUUUUGUCUCAGACUCCCUGGUUCAUCCUGAGCCCCGCCUCCCCGUCUUAUCUGUCUGUCUCUCUGUCCCUCUGUCCCUCCAUCUCUCUAUCUCUCUUCUUUCCUUUUCAUGAGGUUCUUCCUCCACUCCUUGCUUAAUGUUGGUUUUAACCAGAGCCGAGCCCUUUCUGUUCCUCCUUCUCACUCUCUGUGCUUUCUCUCAGUCUUUCCUGUGGCAUUAGACUAUGUGUUGGUGACGCUCAAUCUGCGACAGUCUCCCAUAUUUUACGGUUGACUGAUAGACUUGCUUCCUGAGCAGGGAUCACAAACUCAGCAGGUUCUACCCCUGCUAACCAGCCUUCCCUUCCAACUGGGUUCCUUUUAGUGAGUAGUGCUGCUGUCUACCUGCUUGUCCAGGUGAGGAGUGAGGUCAUCAUCCUUGAGUCUCCCGUCCCCUCAUUCUGGAGUCCAAAGCCCUCCUGAGUUUAUGUUCCAGGCCCCAUGUCCACGGAGUUCGGGUUGCUGUGUCUGCUGAUGGACCCUGGAGACAGGCUUCCUAAGGUGCUGCCGUUGUGUGCUUGUGCCCUUCUGCAUGCACACCAAGCAGGGGCCCGGAGCCUUCCCGCCUGCUGAGCCCUUUUCUCGCAACCCUCCUCCUCCAGGUCUCCACAAGGCUCACCUGCUUGUCUUCUGGCUUUGCUUAGAGGCCACCUUCUGAGUGAAGCUUUGCCACCCGCUCCACUUAGAGGACGCCCUUUCUCUGCUCCUCAUGUUGCAGCCUGUUUGCCCCCCUUUCUUGCUUUAUCUUUAUCACUCAUUAUGUACCUGACACCCUUAUUCAUAUGAUUUGCUUAUUUAUUUGAGACAGGCAAUGUGUCCAUAGCAUGUAAAUGUUAAAAGUGUAGAGUUCUGUUCUUGUUUUACAAGGACUGAUCAAAAAAUCAUGGUGUGUGUUUAGCUAAAGUGUGUUGCAGUAAAGACACAGUGCCACUAACCCUCCUCAAAAUACUCUUUCCCAACUCGUCCCAGUGUCCUUGCCACCUUCUGAGGCGGUUCUGGAAGUCCUCUUUCAUGAGUGUCACUAGUUGCACUGUUGUGUCUGCCUUCAUGUCCUAAAUCAUUUUAGCUAUUUUUGUCAGGUAAAAACGUUACGGUGCAUUCUCAUCCUCCUGAUUUACUGGAUCUGGCACUGUGUGAUCUUUGACUCUUUCCCCAAAGUCCAAAAGACUGAAAAAAUGAAUGUUUUGAAUCAGUUGAGGACAUCAAGGCAGCCAUGAUGGUGCAACUUAAAAGACCCUCGGGGACUUCCAAAAGUGGUGAGACUCCUGGGAGAACUAUGUUUGAAGUGACAAGAGGAAUAUUUUGAGAGGGAUCAAAGGCAGUGAGUCUUUUUAAAUCACCAUAUUUUUUGAUCAGUGUAGUAUGUCUUUUUUUAGGGGGUGACCUCAAACUCAUGGCAAUCCUCCUGCCUCAGAGUCCCAAGUGCUGGGACUACAGGCGUGCACCACUACACCUGGUCAACCUUGUGUGUCUUGUGCUCAGAAGAGUGCGCCGUAUAUACCCUAGGCCCAUAUCCAGGUUGGCCUUGAAAGGUGUGUAGCCCAGGCUGGUCUUCAACUCUUGGCAAUCCUCCUGCCUCAGCCCUCAGCCUCCAGGGUGCUGGGAUUACAGGUGUGCAUCACCACGCCCCAGCUGUGAGUACUUGUUUUAGAUUAUGCAAAGUAUGUGAAAUAUAAAGUACGUGUCCUUCCUUAGACUUCCUGUCCACUGUAAGGUCCAUUCCAUUUCCAUUACAACUGCUGUUAACAUUUGUGAGGCCUUUUCCUCUGCGUCUUUCUUAUCUUGAGAAGCUGGUUACCAGAGUGGUCCCCAAGCCUGCGUGUGGUACUGAUGGGUAAAGUGAUUUGCACAGAGAGCUAAGACAGUACUGGACCAGCAGUGUGCUGGACUCGUGGGCAGCAAACAGUGAACACAUGUCUGUAUUAGCAGUGUUUUCUUUCUUAAGAUCCCAGUAUAUGACUAUUCCUUAUAUAUUUCUGUUAGUGUCAUAGAUAUUUCAUCAGAAAGGAUUACAUCGACAGAAUUUGAACAGUUUUAAUUCUUGAUAAGGAGACUAUUGAGAUUAUUUUCUGGUUUUGAAUAUUUUUCUCUUUUUUAAUUCAAAAGCUACACUAAAAAGCAGCUGUUGAUAGGAUGGAACUCAGGGCCCUUCUAGUUUCUGGCAAAUGCUCUACCAGUCAACUCUCUGUACCCCCAGGCUAGAUCUUUAAAAUAGGUUGUAUUUUGUCAGGCCUGUGAACUUACAUUGCUUAAGUAGCUUUGAAGAAGCAUAUUUUCUUGCUUGGAGGCCUAAGAUUCAUUCUAAACUAGUUUUAGUAUAACAUACAGGUGUUAUUUAAUUUUAAAUAUAUAUUCUUUCAUAUACCUGAAUCUAAGUGUCAUAAUACUGCUGCCUGCCAUGUUAAAGGGAAAGCUUACUGAAUUGAGAGUAGUAGCAGUAGCAGCAGCAGGUAUCAUUAGGUGUAAUUCUGCAGAAGUCUGGAUUUGAAAAUACUGAGUGGGACCUAUCACUAGAUAGGAGCUAUCAACAAAAUGAGGGCCCAGAUCUAAAGAAAAAUUAUCCAUAAAUCACGUGUUCCUUAGCCUUGCCUUGAUUUCACGGCCAUUUCUUUAGUUACUCCGAGUAACUAAGACAGUCAAGUAAUGCAGGACAAAAGUAACUCUGAGCUUCUUUUGUUCUUUGCUUUGGGAAGGGUCUUGUCAUCUUACUGUGUUAACAAUACGCUGAUUAUGGCCAGUGCGAGUGUUGGUGAGACGCACAGAUGCUGUUAUUGAAUGCAGCUACUUUCUGUUACAGAACGACCAUAUGCUGUCUAUUAAUAUGCAAGAAAUUCCACAGAACAGAUUAGAACUCUUCAUUUGCUAUUUGGGAGUAUUUGUGUUUUGGGGAAAGUAGGACAGACCAGAGCAGACUUCACUUACUACUAUUAAAAAAGGCGAGUUGAAGACGUCAUUUACUUUUCCCUAGUGCCUUACUGCUGUUGUGCAUCCUGUUGAUAUUGGGAAUGCUUUGAUUAAGAAUUGGUCACUUACAGCCUUUUCCCCGUGGCUUUUCUCUGUCCUGAAGAGACAUCUGUCGAGUGAGACAAGUGCCAUGCACAUAGUGCUUCUUGGGGUCCCCCACUUGUCCUUAGAACGUGGGGUGUUUCCUGACUUUCAGUGUUUCGUUCACUGCACUCAUCUUUAACAUUGUUUAAAAGAACUUGAAUUCUUUUUUUUUUUUUUUUUUUUGGUACCGGGGAUCGAACUCCGGUCCUUGUGCUUGCGCAGCAGGCGGCGAAACCACUGAACUAAAUCCCCAGCCCAUGAACUUGAAUUCUUAAAAACAUCUCUGUUUCCUCCUACUUAUAAUGUAGAGAGUAUCCUCAAAUGUCAACAGAUCCAAAGCUGGAUCUGUGUUUGCAUUUUUUUUUUUUGAUUGCAUUUUGGUAUUUCUUGCGGGUGUAGUUUAGCUGGGUGAUCUGGGUAUGACUUAGCUAGUGUAAUUUUUUUUCAAAAAAGAAAAGUGCCUAUUAUUCACAAAAUCUAGACAUCCUUAAUGC
ensembl:lncRNA